GCACUCGUCGUAAAUGUGGGUAAGUCCCGCAACGAGGGCAACCCCUGUCCUUUGUCCCAGCACGUAAUGGUGGGAACUCAAGGGAGACUUCCGGUAUAAACCGAAGAAGGUGGGAUGACGCAAGUCAUCAUGGCCCUUACGGCCAGGGCUACACACGUGCUACAAUGGCGCGUACAGAGGGCUGCAAGCUAGCGAUAGUGAGCGAAUCCCAAAAAGCGGCGUCGUAGUCCGGAUCGGAGUCUGCAACUCGACUCCGUGAAGUCGGAAUCGCUAGUAAUCGCAAAUCAGAAUGUUGCGGUGAAUACGUUCCCGGGCCUUGUACACACCGCCCGUCACACCAUGGGAGUGGGUUGCACCAGAAGUAGAUAGCUUAACCUUCGGGAGGGCGUUUACCACGGUGUGAUUCAUGACUGGGGUGAAGUCGUAACAAAGGUAACC
rnacentral:rRNA from 1 species